GGUCGAUUAGCUUAGUUGGUAGAGCGUGGUACUAAUAGAUUGCCUAUACAUGCCAAGGUCAUGGGUUCGAGCCCCAUAUGGACCA